rnacentral:misc_RNA from 1 species
UACAGAGGGUGCGAGCGUUAAUCGGAAUUACUGGGCGUAAAGCGCACGUAGUCGGCUUGUCAAGUCGGGUGUGAAAUCCCCGGGCUCAACCUGGGAACUGCAUCCGAAACUGACUUGCUAGAGUAUGGGAGAGGGAGGCGGAAUUUCUGGUGUAGCAGUGAAAUGCGUAGAUAUCAGAAGGAACAUCAGUGGCGAAGGCGGCCUCCUGGACCAAUACUGACGAUCAGGUGCGAAAGCGUGGGGAGCGAACAGG